AGUCGAGCGGCAGCACGGGAGCUUGCUCCUGGUGGCGAGCGGCGGACGGGUGAGUAAUGCCUAGGAAUCUGCCUGAUAGUGGGGGAUAACAACCGGAAACGGUUGCUAAUACCGCAUACGUCCUACGGGAGAAAGUGGGGGACCUUCGGGCCUCACGCUAUCAGAUGAGCCUAGGUCGGAUUAGCUAGUUGGUAGGGUAAAGGCCUACCAAGGCGACGAUCCGUAACUGGUCUGAGAGGAUGAUCAGUCACACUGGAACUGAGACACGGUCCAGACUCCUACGGGAGGCAGCAGUGGGGAAUAUUGGACAAUGGGCGAAAGCCUGAUCCAGCCAUGCCGCGUGUGUGAAGAAGGUCUUCGGAUUGUAAAGCACUUUAAGUUGGGAGGAAGGGCAGUCAGCGAAUACCUGGUUGUCUUGACGUUACCGACAGAAUAAGCACCGGCUAACUCUGUGCCAGCAGCCGCGGUAAUACAGUGGGUGCAAGCGUUAAUCGGAAUUACUGGGCGUAAAGCGCGCGUAGGCGGUUUGUCAAGUCGAAUGUGAAAUCCCCGGGCUCAACCUGGGAACUGCAUCCGAAACUGGCAAGCUAGAGUAUGGUAGAGGGUGGUGGAAUUUCCUGUGUAGCGGUGAAAUGCGUAGAUAUAGGAAGGAACAUCAGUGGCGAAGGCGACCACCUGGACCAAUACUGACGCUGAGGUGCGAAAGCGUGGGGAGCAAACGGGAUUAGAUACCCUGGUAGUCCACGCCGUAAACGAUGUCAACUAGCCGUUGGGAUCCUUGAGAUCUUAGUGGCGCAGCUAACGCAUUAAGUUGACCGCCUGGGGAGUACGGCCGCAAGGUUAAAACUCAAAUGAAUUGAC
rnacentral:rRNA from 1 species